AUGCGGUCUGAUGUUUUAAUUAUAAUUCACAUCACUGAUGAGCCCCAAAAGGGCGAAACCGCAU
rfam:Reticulomyxa filosa solexa3778007_1.exp, whole genome shotgun sequence.